GAAAUGCGAUAAGUAAUGUGAAUUGCAGAAUUCAGUGAAUCAUCGAAUCUUUGAACGCACAUUGCGCCCGCCAGUAUUCUGGCGGGCAUGCCUGUCCGAGCGUCAUUUCAACCAUCAAGCCCCCGGGCUUGUGUUGGGGACCUGCGGCUGCCCGCAGGCCCUGAAAACCAGUGGCGGGCUCGCUGUCACACCGAGCGUAGUAGCAAUCACCUCGCUCAGGGCGUGCUGCGGGUUCCGGCCGUUAAAAAGCCUUUUUUACCCAAGGUUGACCUCGGAUCAGGUAGGAAGACCCGCUGAACUUAAGC
rnacentral:misc_RNA from 1 species